rfam:Phenylobacterium sp. RIFCSPHIGHO2_01_FTLL_69_31 rifcsphigho2_01_scaffold_3589, whole genome shotgun sequence.
AGGAGUGUAGCUCAGCUGGUAGAGCAUCGGUCUCCAAAACCGAGGGCCGGGGGUUCGAGUCCCUCCACUCCUG